rnacentral:rRNA from 1 species
AUUGAACGCUGGCGGCAGGCUUAACACAUGCAAGUCGAACGAGUGGCGGACGGGUGAGUACUGCUUGGGAAACUCGCUUAUGGAAGGGGAUAACUACGGGAAACUGUAGCUAAUACCUCGUACCAUCGGAUGAGCACCAGUUGGAUUAGGUAGGUGGUGAGGUAAAGGCUACACAAGACGACGAUCUCUAGCUGGUCUGAGAGGAUGAACAUCCACACUGGGACUGAGACACGGCCCAGACUCCUACGGGAGGAAGGUGCGGGGAAUAUUGCGCAAUGGGUGCAACCUGACGCAGCCAUGUCGCGUGAAUGAAGAAGGCCUUCGGGUUGUAAAGUUCUUUCAGUAGCGAGGCGUUAACUACAGAAGAAGCAACGGCUAACUCCGUGCCAGCAGCCGAGGUAAUUC